AUACGGAGGAUGCAAGCGUUAUCCGGAUUUAUUGGGUUUAAAGGGUGCGUAGGCGGUUUGCUAAGCGGGAGGUGAAAUGCCGGCGCUCAACGUCGGAAGUGCCUCCCGAACUGGUGGACUUGAAUGACUCUGCCGUGGGAGGAAUGUGUAGUGUAGCGGUGAAAUGCUUAGAGAUUACACAGAACACCGAUUGCGAAGGCAUCUCACGAAGGGUUGAUUGACGCUGAGGCACGAAAGCGUGGGGAUCAAACAGUAUUAGAUACCCUGGUAGUCCACGCAGUAAACGAUGAUGGCUAACCGCUGGGCUUAUCAGUUCAGUGGCCAAGCGAAAGCGAUAAGCCAUCCACCUGGGGAGUACGACCGCAAGGUUGAAACUCAAAUGAAUUGACGGGG
rnacentral:rRNA from 1 species